UAAAUCAGUUAUGGUUCCUUAGAUCGUACCCACAAUUACUUGGAUAACUGUGGUAAUUCUAGAGCUAAUACAUGCAAACAGAGCUCCGACCGGAGACGGGAGGAGUGCUUUUAUUAGAUCAAAACCAAUCGGUGGCGRGUCCGCUCGUCAUCGUCCAACUUGGUGACUCUGAAUAACUUUACGCUGAUCGCACGGUCAUCGCACCGGCGACGCAUCUUUCAAAUGUCUGCCUUAUCAACUGUCGAUGGUAGGUUCUGCGCCUACCAUGGUUGUAACGGGUAACGGGGAAUCAGGGUUCGAUUCCGGAGAGGGAGCCUGAGAAACGGCUACCACAUCCAAGGAAGGCAGCAGGCGCGCAAAUUACCCACUCCCGGCACGGGGAGGUAGUGACRAAAAAUAACGAUACGGGACUCAUCCGAGGCCCCGUAAUCGGAAUGAGUACACUCUAAACCCUUUAACGAGGAUCAAUUGGAGGGCAAGUCUGGUGCCAGCA
rnacentral:rRNA from 1 species